rnacentral:rRNA from 1 species
GAUGAACGCUGGCGGCGUGCCUAAUACAUGCAAGUCGAGCGAACAGACGAGGAGCUUGCUCCUCUGACGUUAGCGGCGGACGGGUGAGUAACACGUGGAUAACCUACCUAUAAGACUGGGAUAACUUCGGGAAACCGGAGCUAAUACCGGAUAAUAUAUUGAACCGCAUGGUUCAAUAGUGAAAGACGGUUUUGCUGUCACUUAUAGAUGGAUCCGCGCCGCAUUAGCUAGUUGGUAAGGUAACGGCUUACCAAGGCAACGAUGCGUAGCCGACCUGAGAGGGUGAUCGGCCACACUGGAACUGAGACACGGUCCAGACUCCUACGGGAGGCAGCAGUAGGGAAUCUUCCGCAAUGGGCGAAAGCCUGACGGAGCAACGCCGCGUGAGUGAUGAAGGUCUUCGGAUCGUAAAACUCUCUUAUUAGGGAAGAACAAAUGUGUAAGUAACUAUGCACGUCUUGACGGUACCUAAUCAGAAAGCCACGGCUAACUACGUG